CUCUGUAAAUUAUAGUGUGGUCUAGACCUACUCCAUCUGUAAAAUGUCCUGAGAUCACUCCUGUCAUGAUUUGACACUAUAAAUGAAAUUGAAUUGAAUGUCAAUGUUGAAU